rnacentral:tRNA from 1 species
GGGCCGAUGGUGUAACGGGAACACACCUCCCUUGCAAGGAGGCAGAUGCGGGUUCGAAUCCCGCUUGGUCCA